GCGCAACAAAUGAUUAAGAAAACAACAUUAACGUUGAAAGUGACAACGAUGAUAAUAACGAAGAUGAUGAUAACAGGGAUGAAAGUAAAAGCGAUAAUGUAGGCGAUCGAUGACUACAAUGAACAUGAGAAUGAUGAUGAUGAUGAUGAUGAUGAUGAUGAUGACGACGCUGAUGAUAAGGACGAUGACGACAGCAGAUGUGGCGAAUAAUAAUGAUGAUGACUCUAGUUAUGGCAGUGUUUACGAUUAGGUGAUGAUGACGAUUAUGAUGAUAUGAGGGGUGGAGCCAGCCAUACCAGUAGAUCCGACACAAUAUUGAUAUUAAUAAGAUCCGUAUUUUCCUCCUCUGUUCCCGAACUCCGGCAGUGUUACAACACAACACUGCCGCUGCUACCUUCUUCCCAUCACUAGUUACAUACUCUGCUAGAAUGUUGACACAUCAUCAUACCUCACAGUUUCGCUCCACACCACAACAAUAUACAACUAUUAAUAAGUUGGACUAAAAUGUAGGAAUACUCUCCGCGAACAUAGCCGCUGUUAUCUCUGCCGAAGGCGUUGACAGUUUGCGUUACAGAACAACCACGCCACAUUAAAGCUCGCAAAAAACCCACACCACUGCUCGUAACAAAACACACACGCACGCACACACACACGCACAACACACACACACACACACACACACGCACACACGCUCACGCACACGCACACCACUUAGCAUCACAUUAUAAAACACCAAAUUUCACAUCGCAACUACAUAACAAUUAAUAAGUUAAACUGAAACCAAAGGAGUACUACAAUAAAAGAUUGCAGCUAUAUCGUCCUUCCAUACACGAGCGGGAACAGUGACACCGCGCAUAACUACACAACAUUUGUUAAGUUCUUCUAAAAACUAUAGGAGUACUGCAACACGACUGUUAUAUUCAAUUUUUUUUUCUGUAACGCUCUUCUCCAAGUACUGGCGCAGAAAUGUUGACAAACCGUUAUACCACACCGUAACUGGCGUACAUAUCUUCCUAUCAUCUUAAAACAAUGAAUGAACUUAAACAGUGCUUCAAAGAUCAAUAACUUCAGGAUAAAAUCAUAAGAGCACCAUUAUUUUAUUGUCAACUCGAAAUUCUGUUAUCAAUCAGGAGCAUUCUUAAUUGUAUCAUACUUUGCUGCUAAACAUGACUAACACAACUACUGCAAGUGUUUGGGAAGCGGCAACCGACAAUGUUACACUGAAUUGUGAAGACGAUUACAUUCAUAGGAGUAUCUUGAUGGAAUAUGUUCCUGAAAGUAUUUAUGUCGACAGAUACACUACUCCAUUUCUUUAUAUCAUCGGCUUCCCAGGAAAUAUUCUGUCAUUCAUCGUCUGGAUACAAAGGCGCAUGCGUCAUUCAUCUGGAUAUUACUUAGCUGCAAUUGCCCUUGCUGAUCUGUUUUUCUUAGCUUUGCAAAUCGUGCAUGAAGCACAAAGUGCUUGGUUCUUAACUGUCUUAGACUAUCCCAUCAUAUGUGGGGGCUACCCUGUAUUAUUUAUGACUUGCCAAUAUUUACCACCACUGUUCGUGUUAGGUUUCACCGUUGAGAGAUAUAUAUCAGUCUGUCACCCGUUCAAACGUGAACGAUACUGUACCACAAGACGAGCUAAAAUUGUGAUCCUUGCGCUGAUCAUACUUUCAUUCAGUCUGUCUUCUAUGCAAGGAUACUUUUGGCAUUAUGACUCUGCAUGUAAAUCCUGCUCACCUAGGGAGUGGGCAAUUAAUACAUCAUUCUGGACUAUAUGGACUUGGAUAGUUGAAUUUUUGAUAUUUAUGCUUGUCCCAGGUUUGGUUUUGAUCUUCAAUAUACUGGUUAUAUUGGAAGUGCGAAGAAUGUCGAAGAUAGAACUUCACGGUAACGAGCAGCGAACGUCUGCAACAACUCUUAUGCUUUUGACUGUGUCAUUCUAUCUUAUAUUCACAGUUCUACCCGUUACCGUAGCAACCUCUCUUUACACAACGUUUCCGUAUGGUAAACUGGGAAUGUCCGAAGAGGAAACCCGCGCUGAUCCAAAAUGGCAAAGAUUCUUUACAUAUGUUUUUAUUAAAGCUAUUGUCAACGAGAUUGGACUAACACACUUCGUAUUUAACUUUUUCAUAUAUUUGAUCACAGGUCGACUGUUUCGCAAGGAACUGGAGAAACUGAUAACAAGCAGUAUAAUCUGCACGAAAUGGAAUGCUUAUAGGCAAAGAGAUUUCAGUACGAGUGGGGAUUCCACUUGGACUUCUAGAUAUAGUAAAAAGGAUUCACUUGGCAUGAAGCAGGGUGUAAACGGGCACACUUCAUUGUUAGUUAACUGCAACAAUACGACAACUACUACUACUACAAACAAUAAGCAAGAUCACACCGAAACUGUUGUGAAAAGUUGAAAACAAGGCGUACCAACUGAGUCUUCAUGAUUAGUAAAGAAAUCAUAUUACCAUCGACGUGAAACACCUACAAACCAUUAAGAUGAGCUGAGACAGAAACUUUCUCCAAUAGUAAUUGCUCCCUUUAAUGUUUACUGUGAAGAAGUACAAUUGUAUAACUGAUAACUACUGUGAACAAGGAGCAACCUACAAUAUAAAAGCCCAACCAAUCCAAAUUUGACUCUACUGUAGCUGAGGAUAUGGCGGAUAUUCAUAACCAAAACACAUUGCGUAAUCUACAAAAAAGCAUAUGUAUAUGCUUGUAUAUUUAGCUAAUAUAUAUAUAUAUACAUAAACAUACAUACACACACAUAUAUACAUAUAUGCAUAUAUAUAUAUAUAUGUAUACAUAUAUAUACAAGUACAUAUAUAAGAUACAUACACGUAUGUGUACACAAAUAUAUAUAUCUAUACUAGAUACGCUUACACACACACACAUACACACACACACACACACACACACACACAUAUAUAUAUGUGUGUGUGUGUGUAUGUAUGUAUACAUAUAUGUGUGUGCCUGCAUAUAUGUGUGUAUGCGUGUAUUAUGUAUACAUGUAUCUAUUAUACAAUGUCACACAUGCAGGCAUACAGUUUCUGUUAUUCAACUAUUAUCUUACCUUACAGGCAUGUUAGGAAAAUACUUAGGAAAGACGAUUUCAUUGAAGCUUUGGAUUAUAUUGCACAAAGAAACCUGUCAGCAUACUGAUCUGUUUUUUGGAAAAUCCUAUUUAAUAAUCCAUGUUUACAAAUAAAGUGACUCGCUAUUAUGUAAUGUUCGUGCUUGAUACGUAGCAAUAUUGGUAUUAAGAAAACAGCAGUAGUAAUAUUAAGAAUGUUGUGAAAUCUCCAAAAUAUAUAAAACGUAAUGUAUAAAAAAUAUUCAGUAAUACCGAGAUGUUCUAAUAACUCCUUAUCUGUUUAUUGUCGUCUCUAUCUUUCAUAAAUAUCAUGUAAUGGUCAAACUGACUUUGAUUUAUUGUGGUUACAAGAAAGUAAUUUCGGUCUUUUAAUGUGAAAUAAAGGGCAUUUUUUCACACAAAAAUGAACUUUAAUCAGUUAUAUAUUUUUCAUUUUGUUCGAUGAUCUUUUGCCAUCUUUCGGCAAUUUCAUGAUUCAGCGCUCAUAGAUCUUCUGGUCCUUAUAAACCAAAAAAGGAAGCAAGUGCGAUUUCAAGUCAUCAUCAUUAUUGAAAGAUUUACCAUUCAAAGAAUUUUCCAAACUUCGAAAUAAAUGGUAAUCUGAUGGUACACGAUCAGGCCUAUAUUGUGGAUGUGAAAUCAUUUCCCAUUCAAGCUCCAGUAAUUUUCCUCGAGUUGGCAAAGACGUGUAUGGUUUAGCGUUGUCAUGGUGGAACACAAUUUUUUUUACAAUUUGCCAAUUCUGACUGAUUUUCUUUGAUUGCUUCCUCCAGUUUCAUUAGUUGUUGACAGUAAACAUCUAAAUUGAUCGUUUGGUUCUUUGGAAUCAGCUCAAAAUCACUCAAAAUUGACAGUAUGACCUUUUUCGAUACAAUUCAGCUUUCGACGUAGUUUGUGUUGAUUCAUUACGCUUGGACCAUGAUCGUUUUCGAUUGAUGUUAUUGUAGACAAUCCAUAUUUCACCACCAGUGAUGAUUCGUUUAAAAGGAGGCUCGAUUUCAUUGCGUUAGAGCUGCAUAUCGCUAGUAUUGAUUUGUGGUGUUAAAUGAAUCUCUUUCAAUUUAUGUGGAACCCAAAUAUCGAGCCUCUUAACGGGUCCAACACAUUUUAAGUGAUUUUCAAUUGCUGUGUGUGAUACAAGUAACCUCUCUGCAAUCUCACGCACAGCUGUAUGACAAUCCGAUUCAAUUAUGGCUUUGAUUCGGUCAUCACCAACUUCAAUAGAUCGAACAGAACGUUGGUCAACUUUGAGUGAAAAAUCUCCAGAACAGAAUUUUAAAAAACAUUUCUGACAUCUGCGUAUUGUUAAGCAAUCAACGCUAUAAACUCCACAUAACUCUUUGUGAUCCUCAGCGGCUUUCUUGCCUUUACGGAAAUAAACAAAAUAAAAAAAAACAAAAAAAAACAAAACAAAACAAAAUAUGACGAAAAUGUUCAUUUUUUUACUCUCCAUGUUAAAAUUGACACUGAACUAACAGCUGUAAACAAAUUUACGCGCAAUUUGCUUCUAAAGGAAGCUAAAAGUAACGGCUUUCAAAUGCCAAAGGGAAAAAUGAUAACAUUGACAAAAGUCUUUCAAAGCAAUCGUAACGAAAUUACUUUCUUGCCAACCCAAUAUAUAUAUAUAUAUAUAUAUAUAUAUAUAUAUAUAUAUAUGAAGAUAACCAAAUCGCUGUCGCAGAUUCUACUAUAAUCCAUUUUGAUUUCUUAUCUCCCUAAAUGAAUAUGAUAUACAAGAAUAGACUGAUACAAUGAAAAUUCAGAUUCAUAAAUAUAAACUUAAUAUUUUUAGUUGGAAA